rnacentral:rRNA from 1 species
AUUGAACGCUGGCGGCAGGCCUAACACAUGCAAGUCGAGCGAGCGGCGGACGGGUGAGUAAUGUAUGGGGACUGCCCGAUCGAGGGGGAUAACUACUGGAAACGGUGGCUAAUACCGCAUACUAUCGGAUAACCCAUAUGGGAUUAGCUAGUAGGUGGGGUAAAGGCUCACCUAGGCGACGAUCUCUAGCUGGUCUGAUAGGAUGAUCAGCCACAAUGGGACAGAGACACGGCCCAGACUCCUACGGAGGCAGCAGUGGGGAAUAUUGCAAAAUGGGCGCAAGCCUGAUGCAGCAAUGCCGCGUGUAGGAUGAAGGCCUUAGGGUUGUAAAGUACUUUCAGCGGGGAGGCGUUACCCGCAGAAGAAGCACCGGCUAACUCCGGGCCAGCAGCCGCGGUAAUUC